rnacentral:rRNA from 1 species
UACGGGAGGCAGCAGUGGGGAAUAUUGCACAAUGGGCGCAAGCCUGAUGCAGCCAUGCCGCGUGUAUGAAGAAGGCCUUCGGGUUGUAAAGUACCUUCAGUCGUGAGGAAGGUGUUAAGGUUAAUAACCUUAGCAAUUGACGUUAGCGACAGAAGAAGCACCGGCUAACUCCGUGCCAGCAGCCGCGGUAAUACGGAGGGUGCGAGCGUUAAUCGGAAUUACUGGGCGUAAAGGGCACGCAGGCGGUUAAUUAAGUUGGAUGUGAAAUCCCCGGGCUUAACCUGGGAAUGGCAUUCAAGACUGGUUAGCUAGAGUCUUGUAGAGGGGGUAGAAUUCCAUGUGUAGCGGUGAAAUGCGUAGAGAUGUGGAGGAAUACCGGUGGCGAAGGCGGCCCCUGGACAAAGACUGACGCUCAUGUGCGAAAGCGUGGGGAGCAAAC